rnacentral:rRNA from 1 species
UACGUAGGGUGCGAGCGUUAAUCGGAAUUACUGGGCGUAAAGCGUGCGCAGGCGGUUCUGCAAGUCAGAUGUGAAAUCCCCGGGCUUAACCUGGGAACUGCGUUUGAAACUACGGAGCUAGAGUGCGGCAGAGGGUGGUGGAAUUCCACGUGUAGCAGUGAAAUGCGUAGAUAUGUGGAGGAACACCGAUGGCGAAGGCAGCCCCCUGGGCCGACACUGACGCUCAGGCACGAAAGCGUGGGGAGCAAACAGG